rnacentral:lncRNA from 1 species
AAAGAAAGUUACAAAUACUCCCUGACAUUAUGUUCCACACGUGAUUGGAAUAAGAGAGACAAACUCUAAAUAUCUUCUCCCUCCUACACUAGUGAAAAACUAAGAAAAAUAAAAUAACAAGUGAUCUUUUCUCUCUAAAACAAGAGGCCUAUUUAUAGGAAAAAUAACUUUGAACCCUAAUUUAGGUUCAUAGAACUUGGACACUUUUGUUCCCUUUCCAUGUAGGAUUCAACUUCCUAGUGGCAAUCAACUUCUCAAGAAGAUCUUCUAGAUAGACUUUCCUUUCUCUUGUUGGAUUUGACUUCCACACCAAUAUUGUUCCACCUCUUUCCUUCUCCUUGUAGAAUUCUUCUUGGAUAUUCCUUAUAUGAAUAAAAGCAUUAAAUAUCCCUUAAUCACAAAGAUUUUG